AUUAACCCGUUUCAGUUUUUAUUUUUGGAUGUUUGAUCGUGCAUUAACAAGCGUGUAUUCUGUUACCGUAUCCUCCGCGGCCUAAUUCAAAUUUUCAAUUCCAGUUCCAGCAAAACCAUCCUCAAGCUUAUGGAUCAUCUUUGCGAUCUUCUACUCAUUGAUAUAGGCAUUGUGUUCUUCACCGGGCAUGAAAGUGACGGUGUUGCAUCGAUCUUGCCCGUGUGCAGAUGCGGCAAGACCGGCCUCCCUCCGCUUCGUACUUCUGGCAAGAAUAUGUCGACAAGAUCUGCAGGUUGAUGUUAAAAGAAAUCAAUGAAGAUUUUAUAGCGAAAUGACAGCAAUCUUGGUCUUACUUUCUAGAAAGUCUUGGAGAUUUGAGGAGGUGUUUGUGGCAGGUUGUUGGGGUUCUGGUGAGCAUAGUAGGUUGGAGGGCAUAAUUUUGGGUCAGCUUUGGUAUCUUGCAGAGUCAUUUUGGGUGGUUAUUAGUUCCGGUACAGCCUUGGUAUCUUGCUGAGUAUUUUUUUUGCCGAGGGUUAAGUGCGGUUGUGAAUGGUAUUUUGCUGUUAAUUGGGUUCAGGACCUUGAACAACAAAAUGAAUUAGAAUGCUAUCUCCGUCCUUAAACGAAGAUAUUAUUGCAUCUUGACUUUCUCGGAAGUGGCCAGAAUUGUCUAAGGUGUACAGGUGCUCUACGAUUGGUUGCUUUUGUUGCCAGUGCAUAAGCACAAUAAUCUGGCUAGCAAACUUGAGAAAUCGGAUCGAAGUUUGUCACCGUGGCCACGAUGGUAUGGUGGUAGCCAGAAUCAUAAUCUAAUGUUUGCUAAUUUCAGUAUAUAGUAUAAUAUUGAUAUCUGUAGAUUUAUAUUAUGCAUGUGUGGGUGUUUUCUAUACAAAUUUUUCCAUAGAAGAGUAGUAACUAAUAACAUUUUCUUGAUAUUAUCUUUUUUUAGCAGUGUUACGCUUUAAUACAUCUUUAUUUCGUGAUAUGGCAACAGUGAUAGAAUGUUUAGGAACGUAAUUGCUAAACAGCGGGAAGAUGUAAUUAUUUCUGAUAGGUGCUAAACGACGUAGUGGUGGAACAGCACUUGAUGAUUUCUUGCGUAAUAGGAUGCUUGGAAUGCUGCCUCAAACCGACUUGACAAGAGUGGAUGUGAAUACACAACUUGGUCUCACUGGCAGAAGGCCUGAAAUUGAUGAGGUUAUCACUAUGAUAGAGGCUAUGGACACAUCAAAAGGUGGAGGAAUGAUUCCUGGUGAUCAGCCUCAAGGCUGCCUCUGCUUCCGUAGCCCUUGAGGUCCAUGAAAGCACUACAAUUGCAUUUUUAAACACAAGCACACAUGGUAGAUUGAGUAUAACGAAGGUAUUAAAAAGAGAUGGUUUUCAUAGCCGAGAAGAUUUGGAGGAUGUUGGGUACAGACCAUGGAGCUAUGCUACAUAUCUUUACGAUUGGGUACUUGAAUACACAUUGUGUGCUUCGUUGACAGGUGGAUUGUGGUGCUGAUGUUAUUGUCACACAACUUUUCUAUGAUACUGAUAUUUCUCUCAAAUCUGUGAAUGAUUGUCGACAAAUUGGGAUAACUAUUCCCAUAGUCACUAGCAAUGCUGGCAUCAUGCCAAUCAACAAUUAUAAGGGAUUCCUCCGCAUGACUGGAUUUUGCAAAACCAAGGUAGAUCAAAUUUGAGGGUCAAAACGUAUAUGUCACCUACUAUGUGGCUGAAUUAGGGAGUCCAUCCAACAAUAAGAGGAGAAGUCUGGGAAUUUUUACUGGGUUGUUAUGAUACUACGAGCACGUUUGAUGAAAGACAGCAGAUACGGCAACGCCGGAGAAUGCAAAAGUCGGUAGGCGAUAGCAGAACAUCUGCAAACACUUCUGGACAAGGCGACAAAACAGGCAUAUCAAGCUACUUUGGUGUUACGGGAAAAUCAAGUGUUGCGGAAGAAACAAUAAUGGGGAUGGAAUAAACUCUUGAAGAGGCAGACGUGUAUAAAAUAUCAUCAGAAGAACUGCAAGAAUACAAUGAUUCAAUGCAACAAAAGAUAAAAACACCUGGAUGAAAGAAACCGGAGGAAGUAGUCAAUAUAAAGAAUAAAGCAUAUUCUGGGGUAUUUGACAAAUAUGAGUGCGAUUGUGCGGCGGCAAAGCUACGAGGUCGUGGUCCAGGUGUCAACAAUAUGGGGAAUUCCCAACAACCGGUGCUUGCUCAUCACAAAGAUCCAUUAGUUGCUCCUAGGCGUAGAGGUAGACGUCCAGGAGUUGAGAAACGUCUGGCACAGAGAUUUGGCGAGGAAAGUGGCAACACAAUAAAGAAUCAGACUUCUGCAGAAGAUGGUAACAUUUAAAUCACAAAGAUGUAGCAAAUUCUGGCAGUAUCGGUGAUAGGAAGUUUUUUACACUGAUCUGCAGCUUAGCAAAAAAAUGUGGAAAUAAUGACAAGAGCAGAGUGAAAGGGAUGAGGUCUUUGGUAAUCUGAUUGGUCAGGUGGUAGAGAUUCUUUUCUUUCAGUGUUUUCAUCCGAGUGUCUAGAAAAAAAGGAAGAUAUCUUAUAUUUUUAAAAUAAGGCUGUUAUAUUGGUGUUGCUUCCUGAAAGCUUUUUUCUUACUACCUGCAUGCCUUGGCAAUUUUCACAGUAUUUAGCUAUUGCUGCAGCAGCGUGCCAGGUUGGUUGUACAGGUUGGAUUGGGAAUCUCCCAAAUGACUAUAUCUAGCUAUAUAAUUUUGGUAACUCUCAAGCCUAUAACUUAUUUUACAGGCAGUCUCAAUAUUAAGGUAGUUGGCCACUUUUCAAACUACAUUCAAAACCUGAUCACAUUGCAAUGUGUUGUCAUCAGAGGUAAAAAAACAGGCUAAUGCGAGUACACAGGCUCGUAUGUCACGUAUUUGCAAAUUAUGUACGCGCAGGAGGUUGUACAGACAUGAGAUUCUAAUGUUGUUGUUGCAUCAGAUAUUGAUUUGGAUCAAAAGGCAGCCACUCAGAACUCUUGACAUCAAUGCACGUGUUCUUGAAAGGCCUGUAUCUGUGCACAAAUUUAUCGACGAGGAGAUAGAGAAUCAUCCUUCUGUAACGGAGAACUCUGCCUCUGGGGGUGUUAGCCGUAUUGGUCGCGGUCAUGUUAGUGGUUAAAAAUUCAAUGUUAUGUAUAAUAGUGACAAGGAGAACAGUCCAGCGUCUAUGGAUGUUUGUGGAAAAUCAGAGGUUUCUGCUGAUCAGGAGCAGGUAGUGAUAGUAUGUUAGUAGAUCAAGCUAAGCAGAAGAAGGAUAUUCAGGUGAAUGUGACUAUGUGGUCUGUAGAUAAUAUUUUGGGUGAUAAAGUUAAAGAGUAUGAGUUUAGUGGCAGUAAGCUGCAUCCUGAAGAAUUAACAAUAAUGGAGCAAAGGAUUGAAGAAAGAGAAAAAUGUGAAGCGAGUGCAGAACAGAUUGAUCUGUGUCGAAAAGGAGUACAUGUCAGAGCCUGAUGAAAUGAAUUAUUUUAUGAUGCAGGGGAUUGAUCAACAGGUGCAAGGUGGUGAGUGUACAGAGUAGGAGUCUGAUGACAAGGAGAACAAAGAGAAGGUGCUGAUUUGAUUUUAGCAAGUUUCUCAUCUUCUUUGUAGUUUAUGGAUAAUUUAGCAAUCUGGAACGUAAGAGGAAGAACAAUUCUUUCUUUAUUUUCUUCAAUAUCCUUUUUUUUUUGGUCAAGUUUAUGUAAAUGUUGCCAUGUUUUGUUGUCAAUUGCUGCACAAUAAUUCAAAUACAAAAGCAACUUUGAUAAA